rnacentral:rRNA from 1 species
AAGGAAUAUUGCGCAAUGGGCGACAGCCUGACGCAGCGACGCCGCGUGGGGGAUGAAGGUCUUCGGAUUGUAAACCCCUUUCGGCAGGGAAGAUGGAACGGGUAACCGUUCGGACGGUACCUGCAGAAGCAGCCACGGCUAACUUCGUGCCAGCAGCCGCGGUAAUACGAAGGUGGCAAGCGUUGUUCGGAUUUACUGGGCGUACAGGGAGCGUAGGCGGUUGGGUAAGCCCUCCGUGAAAUCUCCGGGCCUAACCCGGAAAGUGCGGAGGGGACUGCUCGGCUAGAGGAUGGGAGAGGAGCGCGGAAUUCCCGGUGUAGCGGUGAAAUGCGUAGAGAUCGGGAGGAAGGCCGGUGGCGAAGGCGGCGCUCUGGAACAUUUCUGACGCUGAGGCUCGAAAGCGUGGGGAGCAAAC